rnacentral:lncRNA from 1 species
AGAAGAUAAUUCAAUAGACACCGAGGAAGAAGAUACUCCAAUUGAAACAGAUGAAGAGGAAAGCUCAUAACAAAGAAGAUGAGACGGUCUUAACUACGGUGAGACUAUGGGUUCCAAUGUCUUCGCUUUUCCCUUUUCUGGGCCUCCACUAGAGAUUUGCAAGUGUCUGUUCCUUCAAUUAGAAUUCAAGAUCAUUGUAACAGAGAGGUUUCGCACCAUGCUACCGACAUGAUUGAGGAACACUUUUUUUUUUUUUAGUUUUUGCCUCUAUUUCUUUAUGAUUUGUGAUGCAGAGUGCAUUAACCCAAAAAUUAAGAGGAUGCUGGUUAAAAUGGCCAUGAUCUUCUAAAUUGCUCCAUGUAAUUUAUCACACAAGCCUCUGUCGCCUCUCUUAAUCCCAUUAAUGAUGCCGAAACUUCAUACUUCAAAAUUCUAAGAUAGUAAGUUUUGCUCAAUCUAGUAUAAUCUAUAUCUUUAGGAAAGUGUUGUUCGAAUUGUCUCAAAGAUCAAAAGGUCUAUAGAGGAAAAAUUAGUCGAUUCCUUUGUUUUUUACUCCGCAGAUUGCAUUGGAUGGGUACAAAGGGAGAGCUUUGGCUUUGAGACUUUGCAUUUAAGCAAAGGAGAUUUAACUCAAAGAAUGUUCAUGAUAAGCAAAUAGCGCAUAGUGAACGCCUUAUAAAAUACUUGUUGCAAAGUAUUUCAUAAAAUAAGAGAAAAGAUGCCAAAAGGAGAAUGGAGAAACUUAGAUAGAAGCCCAAGCAUGGGUCAUAACAAUAGCACCGGUGCCGGCGUCCCGUGACCCUAAGUGACGUGCUGCCAAGGUCGUGCGAGCCCACAUAUGGCAGCACGCAUGUGCCCACAUAAUGCGCUGGUGCUGCACUAUUCUAGGCGACACGAUGCCAAAUCCACAAGACUAGGCAACUCGACGCCCGACUCUCCGUGAGCUUCAUCUAGCAAUGAGUGACCCUUGGUGAGUUAGAUUUGGUGUCGAGCAACCCUCGGCAAAGCUUGCUGACGUCUGCCAACCAUCGGUGAAGUUGUGCAGGCAUCCUUUGACCUCCUCCGCGAAGCUUCCUAGCCACGAUUGACCAUGGCUUUCUUUCUGUCUAUCCAAGAUUUUUUUUUGGGGGGGGGGGGGGGGGGGGGUUGGGGAAAAAGAAAAACACNNNNNNNNNNNNNNNNNNNNNNNNNNNNNNNNNNNNNNNNNNNNNNNNNNNNNNNNNNNNNNNNNNNNNNNNNNNNNNNNNNNNNNNNNNNNNNNNNNNNUUGUCUUGAGCUUUGAGCAAUUUCAAAGCAAAAAUUUACACAAAAAAAUUUGAAACCGUGUUACCAAACGCCGAAACUUCGACUUAAAGACUUUUAAAGGUCCAAAGCUCCUCGUAAAUGCUCUCCCAAUGGCACUUGAUUAAUCUUGGCUCAGUCAGAGCAAAAGUGUAAUUUUAUGAGUGCCCACCCUAUCGGCUCAGUACUUGGGCCUCCUAUGUCGGCCCCUCCCCAACAAAUCACCACCGUCGAUCAUGCCCUGGCCGUCUCAUCAUGUACUUUCAUCCCCACCCAUCGACUCAUCUCUCUGUCCGGCCCCAUUGCAUCUCCCCAUCCCUGGGCCCCACUACAAAACCUAUCCAAAAAAGAAAAGUUAGCUCUUAAAUUAUAUGAAAAUCUCCAUUUUUUUUAUUUAUUUUUGCCACUACAAAACAAUUGAAAUAAAGCAGACCCAAUAAAUCACGCAUUCCCAAGAUCACGAGCGUGCCAUAUUGCAUAGAAUAGUACCAAUAUUAUAGCACAAAAUACUAGAGUUUAAAUUAAGUGAAAAUCUAAUCUAAGCACAUACAAUGUAAAUGACACAAUCCAAAAAUGCUCGGGAUAUUAUUGUGUAUGAAGAUCCAAUGACUUGUAUAGAUUUUAACAUCCAAAUUCCAAUAGGACCAUGUUGUGGCAUAUGUUUUCAUUAGUUGAUUUAUUCACCUAGGAGUAGGGACCCAAAAGAAAAAGGAUUUAGGUACAUUUGUUGUAAUUAUAUGAGGUUUCUUAAUCGUAAAAAAAAAAAAAAAUCCUAAAUUACCAAUUAGUAUCCCUUUGCAAUUGUAGCUCCAAAUAUUUUUCUCCUCUUUCCUUUUCCUUUUAGUGGAUUUUUUAUGGCUUUGUAUUGCGGUGUGACUUAUUAAGGUGGUGAUUUAUUACAGAAGAAUGAGUCAUUUCAUUCAUCGUUUAUAAAAUAAAUUCCCAUUGAGUUAUCCACCUUACCAAGAUUAGACUUCAUACCAAGAUUAGACUUCAGGAACUCAACCCCCAACUCUUCUCUCGAUGAUGCGAUAGUUACUUACUAGUGGAAUGGAGGUUAGGAGAUCACUCAACAAAUUGUGAGCCAUUGAUUUCAACAUUCGGAUGAAAAAUGGCAAAUAGAUAAAGAAAAAGAUAAAAUAAUUUCCUUUUUCAUAUCACUUUCAAAUCAGUACUUAACUUUUAUUUGAGGAAACCAUAUAAGAAAAUAACAACAACUGCUGAAAAUCUAUGCGAGAAUUAAUUGUAAUUAGGUAACGUGGCAAAAAAAAAAAGUCCAUCUAUUACUUAAAUUUCUAUAUACUCGUCAAUUUAAUAAAAGAAAAAUGUCGAAGUUAGAGUAGUCUUGAUUUCGAAUCUUGCAUAAAUGACAGCCACAUCGAUGACUUCUAGCAUUCUCAAUUAUGAUCGGGAUGGACCAGAAUUUGUUCUAGACAAUGAAGGAAAAAGGCAUUGCCAUAUUUUCACUUUGGGUUUUGCCACUAGCUCGCUUACCGUUUAGGUUUUAGUAUAUAACCCUCUUAGUUUGAUUUUUUUUUUUCAUUGGUAAUAAUCGAAUUUUUUCAUUAGAUUUGACAAGCUCAAUUCUCAAAAUUUUGUUCUAAAAUCGACCUUUGACAAGUGCAAGCAAAUUAUCACAAUGAUUCGACAAUGGGAGAUGGAUGAUACCUACUGGAAAUGAGCGGAUGCGAGGAUAAAUUGGCCAUAGCUUGAAAGAGAGCAAGACUCUUAGAAUACUUAAAUAAUAAACCAAGUUUUCAUCUAACAGCUUAAAUUUUUAUUUUUUGAACAAUUAACAAUGGUUCCACCAAAAUCUCAUAUGACAUUAGAGCAAGAGAUCUUGAAUUUAAAUCUUUCAAGCCCCUAUUUGCUUCUCCAAUUACAUAUUUUCAUGCCUAGGCUUAGGUUAAAGACCAACCUAUGCAUAAGAGAGAGUCUUAGGAUAUUUAAAUAAUAAAUCACAUUUUUAUUUAACAGUAAUAUCUCAAAAGAUCAAGUGUUGUUAGGAUUAUCCUAAUGUUAUCAUUUUCUUUUGCCUUAAAGAUAUUUUUAUAUUCUUUUUUAUUUCGUGCUAAGUAAUAUAAUGGUCAAAGUUCAUGUGUACUUGACUUUUCUUUUUUCCUUUCUUAUCCGAUUAGUGUUUAUUACUCUAUCACUAUACUAAAUACAACUACUGUAUCGAACAUAUUUCAAGUAAUUGAUUUCUCUUACAAAUACAUUUCAAACUAUUUACUUCAAGUAAUUUUGCAAUGUUUUAUACCAAACAAAGUAAAAUUUUCCUUUGAUCAGAACCAAACAAAGUUUACUUAUUAUGCUAAAAUAUCUUCUUAUCUAUAGUGUUUGCACGGGUCUCCUAUAUAUAUAUAGUCUUUCUCUAUCUAAUAGAUUAAAUUUUUUGUAUGGACAUACGUAUAUGAUAUCAGAGCUAAUUUAAAUCCAGUUUGUUUCAUAUAUGUAUCUCUCCAUAGUCCCUAGUUUUAAAAUAAGUUUUGCACACUAAAAGAGAUAUUAUAGUGGCCAACAAAAGAAAAUCAUAAUUAAGUUACUCCUUCAACAAGUGCAUGAUUACGGAAUGCCAUGUGUGACAAAAGUAACUUUAACCCUGCUAUGGUACUCAGAUGACAAAAUAAUAAUAAUAAUAAUAAUAAUAAUAAUAAUAAUAAUAAUAAUAAUAAUAAUAAUAAAUCAAAACACAUGAUGUUGAUUCAGUUUUUGUAAGUCUAAAGUCCAAGCCUAGGUCGAAGUAUGCAAGGGAUGACGAGGUUCAUUUUUUUUUUUAAACUAUAGCGAUCUUUACAAUCAAAAUGAAAUAAAAUGUAAUUUUUAAUCUUCAAGGAGUUGAUUGAGUAUGUGAGAGAUUUAUUUAUAAGACAAAUCCUGUAUUUAGUUGCAUACUCGCCAAUAAGAAUAAAAGGGGUCAUGCUCAUGAUCGGCUCAUUGAUGGAGUCUUAUUGCAUGUGAUUGAGACAAUUAUAGGGUUUUAGUCAAGUAAAGAUUCGCAUCCGUUGUUACAAUUUAUUUUUACUAUAUACCUAAUUUUAUUUAUUACAAGAAUUCCUCUAUAAGUAUGCCGAUUUCAAUUGAAACUUAUCAAUUUGUUGGUUUAUGGGGAAAUUCUUUAAGCUAAAAAGGGGUAAAACAAUAUCUGAUGGACUAGCUAGAUGUAUACGGAAUACAGAAGUGCGGUGAACAAAUGGGUUAAAGGAGAGCACCUAAAAACAAGAAGCUGCCUUACAAACCCAAUAGGAUUGUCCAACCUCACUAAACAUUCGGAAUGUGUAAAACCGUAUCGAAUCUGCACUUUAUAUCACCAUAACUCGUAAUACCAUAAAUCAAUUUUACUGAUGUAUCAUAAUAGUAUUGUACUUUUAAUUACAAUGUGAUGUUGUAAUAUUAUACUAUACAUUUGAAGUAGUACAUAAAUGACUCUAAUUUACGAGUUUGUUAUUGAAUAAGAAUGAUACGUUGAAAAAUAACGAAUUUUUUUUAUUUUUAUGUCAAUUGGAAGGAAAAAAAAGGAGAGUUUUUCAAUUUGCGGCACAGAUCAGCUUAUGGGAACCAAAAUCGAGUUUAUGUAAAACUUAAACAUGAGUGAUCAAUAAAAAAAAAAAAACGAAAAACGAAAAAAAACAUGAAUGUGCCAUACAAUUCGGCCUCUUCGGUCGGCCCUUCCCUAAACAAAUCACCGCCGUCGAUCAUAUCCAACGACCCACCUCUAUCUCUGGGCCCCACUGCAUAGUGCAUAUCCCCAUUCCAUUCCGUUUCUUUAUAAAUAGAUAAAAAAAAAACGGAUAUGAGUGUAAAUAAAAAUAAAUUUUAUUAAGAGGUAUCCAAAAGACACUGAUUAAGAAUAAUAAAAUAAUAAAAACACAUAUAAACGCAUUGUAAAGAAUUAAGCAAGAACAAAUUUCGAAUGAGAGCAAUUUAUUUUAAUUUAAUUUAAUAUAUAUAUAUAUAUAUAUAUAUAUUUUUUUUUUUUUUCUUCUUCUCCUCUUGAAGAGUUUUCAAUCCCAUUUCAAUUGGCAAGUGAAAAUGCCAUGUGAUUUCCUCUAAGAAUAUUUUAUAAAGUGAAGUUCAUACUAGGAUUGCAUUUAUAUUCUUCAUUGACUUGCGCUAAAGUUUAAUCUCUCUCACUUUCCAUCUCAUUAGCGACCCUUCGUUUCAAGUGCCUAAAGUCAUGCGCAAAGUUCAAUGAAGCAGAAAUGAUAUUGCCAGUCACUUUCUGAACUCAAGAAAUUGCCCAGAACCGGUGAACACGAUCAUUUUCGAAUAGUGGGGGAGAGGGAACGAGGAAAGUUCCGAAAGGGAAAUAGGAGAAAGAAACUUGGGCUACGGGCAAAUGGCGCACGAUCAUUUUCGGAUGGAGUCUCUGACUGUACCUGAUGGUGAUACUGCGCGCGGGGCUCCUAAACCCAAAAGGAUACCCCUGGUAGUGGCGGGGAUCUGAUCUAGGUAUAACUUUCUUUGAUCUUUGUUCCAUUGCGUAAGCCAUAAUCCACAAACAAAGUGAUAUAUAGACGAGAGCUGGAGCCUGGAAACCCCAUCAGAUAGUAAACAUUCUUGAAGCCCAUCAUUCAUCGGCUCUUCUCAUGGCUGCUUCUUCGAAUCAGAAAAGGUGUUAGCAUGCUCCUGAGUUGCAGAGGCAAGAGCAUCCGCAACAACUUCCUUGGUCAUCUCUCUACUAGAAAUUUGAAAAUGUUUGCUCCUUUGAUCAGAAAUCAAAAUCACUAUGAAAUAUAGAUUUCGCAUCAUGCUACCGACAUGGCUGAGGAACUUCUUCUUUUUCCUCUCUUUAUUUAUGAUUUGUGAUGCUGAGUAUUUUAAUUCAAAAUUAAUUGGAUGCUUGCUGAAUGGCCAUGGUCUUCCGAGUUGCUUUGUGUAAUUUAUCAUAUGGACAUCUGUCACCUCUUAUAAUCUAAUUGAUGAUGCUAGCACUUCAUACUCUAAAAUUUUGAGAUAGUAAGUUUGGCUCAAUCUAAUAUAAUCCAUCUAUUUGGGAAAGCAUUGAUCUAAUUGUCUCACAGAUCAAAAGGUCUAUACAGGGAAGAUUAGUUGGCUCCUCUGUUGUCGCUAGGCAGAUUGCAUUGUAUAGGUACUAAGGGAGAGCUUUAGCUUCAAGAUUUUGCAUUUAAGCAAAGGACAUUGACUCAAAGGAAUUAAUUUUAAAGUAAAUAGUGUUUAAUACCUUGUUAAAAUACUUACUGCAGAGCAUUUUUUUCAAAUAAGCAAGAAGAAGAGAAUGGAUGAACUUGCAGUUACAUAUGAAAACUCAAGCGGAGGCCACAAAACUAGACCAGUGCCAACGUGAUCCCAUUGCGCUGCCGUGGUCCCAUGCGAUGCGCAAUGCCAUGGCCACACAAUUAGGUAAUGCAAUGCUUGACCCUCAACAAACUAGAUCUGGUGUCAGGUGACCCUAGGCAAGUAGAAUCUGGUGUCGAGCGACCAUUUCGAUAAAGCUUGCUAAUGUCCCCCAACCCUCAUCAAGCUUGCCGAUGUCCCCCAACCUUCUCCAAAAAGCAUCCCAGCCAUGAGUGACCACGACUCUUCUAUCUCCAUCCAAGAUUGGGUUGGGGGUAGGGGUGUCAAGUAGAAUCUGGUGUCGAGCGACCAUUGCGCUGCCGUGGUCCCAUGCGAUGCACAAUGCCAUGGCCACACAAUUAGGUAAUGCAAUGCUUGACCCUCAACAAACUAGAUCUGGUGUCAGGUGACCCUAGGCAAGUAGAAUCUGGUGUUGAGCGACCAUUUCGAUAAAGCUUGCUAAUGUCCCCCAACCCUCGUCAAGCUUGCCGAUGUCCCCCAACCUUCUCCAAAAAGCAUCCCAGCCAUGAGCGACCACGACUCUUCUAUCUCCAUCCAAGAUUGGGUUGGGGGUAGGGGUGUCAAAAAACAAACCGAAAACCGAACCGAACCGAACUGAAAAUUUUAGUUUUUUUUAAAGUUUUUUUUAGUUUUUUUUUUCGGUUCGAUUCUCAUUAAAAAUCGAAAAUUUUUAACCAGUUCAGUUUUUAUCGGUUUGGUUAACCAAACCAAAUCGAUAAAAUCUAACGUUUUUCUUUUUUUUUUUUAAAUCAUUUUAAAAAUUUUUUGAUUUUUUUUCUUUUCCUUCCUCUUCUUAUUCAUUGGCCGGCCAGUGACCAGCCAAUGAAGAAGAAGAAGAAGAAAGAGAAAGAAAAAAAGAUAUUAAAGAAAAGGAAAAUAACAUUAAAAUUAAAAAAAUUAAAAAAUCGAUUUAAAAAAUAAAAAAAAUUAUAGAAAGGGGGUGUAUGUAGGGAGAAAUACAAACAUAAAAGUAAAAACCGAAAAAUCAAACCAAAUCGAACCGAACAAGGAUUUCGGUUCGGUUCGAUUUCAGUUCAAAAUGGAUUUCGGUUCAGUUUAAUAAAUUCUUUAUUGGUUCGAUUCGGUUUGAUUUUUAAAAAAUACCAAACUGAACCGGACCAUUUACACCCCUAGGGGGGUGCUGUUGGAAAAAAAAAAUAUUAACAUGCAUGCCAAAGAUGUUAAACCCCCGAGCUCUCCCUCGCCUUGAGCUUUGACCAUUUUGCACCAAAAUAUUUGAAGUCGUGUUCCAAAAUGCCAGAACUUUGGCUCUAAGGGCUUUCGGAAAUUCAAAGCUGCUCGUCUCCCAUAUGCAGCUUGAGCGUCCUGGCUCGUUAGGGGCAGAAGUGUAAUUUCACGAGUGCCAACUCAGUCGGCUCAUAAUUUGGGCCUCUUGACUCGGCCCCUCCCCCCAACAGAUAACACCUAAAAUUUCCUUCUGAAACCGAUCUUGGUGUCCGACGUCUUCCCGACUUUCUGAACCUUUUAACCCUGAGAGCAAAAAUAGAAAUCUCGUUUUCUAGUUAUUUUCUCUCUUUCUAAAAUUUUGAAUUUUAGCUUAUUUCACUUUAAAAUUUACUAUCAACUUAAAAUGCUCUAUGAAUUGGUACUUUUUUAAGGCGAUCGAUAUUCACCGCUACAACCAUUUAAUAACAGGAUUAAUCAAUCUUUUUUUUUUUCAAUUUUUUUGUCAAGUUUAAACCCUUUUUUUAUAUAUAUAAUUUAAGAAUUAGGAGGUAAGAACAUAGUGACUCAUGGUUCAACAGUUUACAUUAACCUCAAGAAAAAAAAAAUUAAACGUAGUUAUAAUUACUCUAAAUAUUAUUCUAUCAAAGAAAGAGUCAAUAAAUAACCUUCAUACUAUAUAAGGAGUUGGCCGAUAUUGAUAAACAGUUAGGAGGACUAAAUAUUCAUUACCCUUAUUAAAAGGUUUACUUGUUUUCUUCUCUCAGAAUCAUACAAGUGUGAAAUACUAUGUUUACUUCAUUUAUACAAUAAAGAAUCCCUUAUACUGUGCACGCAAUUCAGGCUUUAUAUUUUAAUUUUUUAUUGUAUAAUUGAUGUACACAAAAUAAAAACACGUCUUUGUCUUUCUUCCUAUUUGGUAAAAAAAAAUCUUUCACAAAAUAGAAUUUAUUGUAAAUUAUUAAUGUCUCUUUAAAAAUAUAUAUAUCAAAUUGUUUACUCCAAGUAAUUUUACAAUGUUUUAUACCAAACAAUGUAACUUUGCUAUCAAAAUAUCUUCUCAUCUAUAGGGUUUGCGAGGGUCUUCUAUAUAUGUAGUCUUUCUUCAUCUAAUAGCUUAAAUUUCUAGGUUGGACUAUUCAAUAUGAAAUCAAAGCCAAGUUCGAAGCCAGUUUUUUUGUAUAUGUGGCUCUCCAUACAUCAAUUUCACCUAUCAUUUUUUAAAUAUCGGUUUUGCACGCUAAAAGAGAUAUUAUAAUAUUAUACAUUGCUUGUCUACAGAAUUUAUACUUACCUUAUUAUCUCUUCACUUAUUAUCUCUUCACGAAUAGUGGCCAACAAAAAAAAAAUCAUAAUUAAGUGACUCCUACAAGUGCACGAUUCCGGAAUGCCGCAUGUGAAAAAAGUAACUUUAACCUGCUAUGAACUGAGAUGACAAAAACCAAUCAAAACAAGUAAUGUUGAUUAAGCUUUUUUAAGUCUAAAGUCCAAGUAUGCAAGGACUGACCUGGUUCAUUUUUAUUUUUUUUUAACAUAGUGAUCAGGAUAAUAUUUUUUACUUACUUAUAGUAGAUAGAAAUAAAAUCUAAUUUUAAUUCUCCAAAAAGUUGACUGAGAUAGUGAGAGAUUGAUUCAUAUGACAAAUCCUAUAUCUAGUUACAUACUCACCAUUUAGAAUUAACUCUAAGGAUGCACGCCCAUGAUUGGUCCAUUGGCAAUCAUGGGCGUGCAUAUCCCAAGCUUAUGGGGGUUCAUGUCCCAAGGUUAAAUAACAAGACAUUAUAUAUUCUUUCUCCGACUUAACACCGUGUUUAGCUUAUGGGGAUUCAUGUCCCAAGACUUAAUAACGAUGCCAUGUUUAUUUUUUGCUCGACUUGUAUCGAGUUUUUCAUCUCCCACACCUUUUCUUGGAUGCUUUUGAUGCUUGCUUGUUUACUUUAAAAAGCCAUUUCAAUGGCCUAUAUGUUAAUUUCCUUUCCAGAAGCCUGAGACUAGAACACUUUUUUAGGUGUCAACUAAAACUCAGAUGUCAAUACUAAUGUAGACAAUUUUAAAUUUUAAAUUUUAUUUUUAUUUUCUUCACAGGGCCAACGAGACUAUCGACCCCCUCGCUAGGUAUGGGAGAGGGUUCGUUGUUUCAUAGAAAUAAUGUUUACAAUAUAUCAAAAUCGAGAUUAGGUAAAACUUAAACAUGAAUGUGCCAUAUGAUAUCAAACUUCAACUCAUUAGUACUCGGCUCAAUAGUUUUACAAGUCCAAUUGAGUUAUUCUUUUUGUAAAUUAUUUAUAUGAAAUUUCGAGCUUUGAUCCAUUUAUAUUUCAACAUAAUAAAAUUGAAUCUAGGUGCAACUUUUAAAUACUUCAAUUUUCUUUUCCAGUUGAGUUCAAGCACGAAAUUCGAUACUCGAUCCAGCUGAGCUCGAUUGAAGUUUUGAGCAAUCAAACAUGUGAGUCGAGCUUGCAUCAGCUCGUCUCGAUGUGAUUAUCCUUAGACUAGGCCUAGGACGCUAGCGCUUAGACUUGAUACCUCAAGGGUGGAUUUGCGCGUCCUUGCGCGCGGGCUGGACCCGAGACCUCACAGCCGGAUUUAUAAACCCAAGUGGCAGCUUCCGUCUUCUGAGUCCUUGGCCGAUUCUUCAUCGCUCCUUCCUCGUCAAGCAGCAUAUUGAUCUGAAAUCGAAAACUGAAAACGUGUUCACCAACCAAAUGGCCCUGAGAGCGCUUGUUUCUUUGAAGCGAGCGAGAGCCAGAGCCAGGGCAUAGGGAAGAGAUCGUCGACUUCACUGCCGAUCGGGGAAGGGCAACCCCGGGUCAGAGGCCGCCCAGCAUCUCCGAGAGCAAAGCCCACUCUGCUUCAGCUUUAAGCCCUUGAUUUUCUUAGCAACACACUGUCUCUCUGUUCCGAAACUUGGCAUUCUAGAGAAGCACAUAUACCAUCAGCUCUUCUUCGAAUAUGAAAAGGAAUUACCACGUGUUCCUCAGUUUCAGAGGGACAGAUGUCCGCCACGGCUUCCUCAGCCAUCUCUACGCGGCUCUGGACCAGCAAGGAAUAUACACUUUUGUGGAUAGUGAGGAGCUUAGGAAAGGAGAGGAAAUAUCGCCGGCGCUCAUGAGGGCGAUUGAGGAAUCGCAUGUUGCGAUCAUCGUUUUCUCUGAGAACUAUCAUCGUUUCUCUGAGAACUACGCUUCCUCACGGUGGUGUUUGGAAGAGCUCUUGAAAAUCAUGGAGUGCAGGGAGCAAAACGGCCUGAAGGUGUUCCCAGUGUUUUACAAAGUGGAACCCAGAGAAGUAAGAGGAGGGAGAGAGAGUUAUAAGAGAGCUAUGGAUAACCAUCAGUCCAAGUUCGGGAAGGAUUCAGAGAAAGUGAAGAGAUGGAAGAAGGUUCUCUCUGAAGCUGGUAGCUUGUCUGGGUGGGAGUUGAAUGAUAGGUACGCGCAAAUGUGAUGUGGUGUUUUGUGAUUGUUAGCUUGUGAUUGUUUGUUAGAUAUCAGAUCGUAUGCUCUUUUUUGGAUCUUCGAAUCGAAGAUACAUAAUCAAAUAACCAAAGCUCGUAGAUUCUUUGUAUUGAUUCUUGCUGUGUGGAUAAUGAGAAAUUUCUCAAACAUAUAGUGUGAUUCAUAGUGCCUUAGUCAUUAUUGUCUUCAGAUUCAGGUUCUUUGUAAUGUUCCUCGUGUAGAUGUUGGCGCAGGUUCACCCACCUUUCAUCUUAUUAUUUGCCGAUCUUCUUAUGAAAUUUUCCUUAUCACGUUAGAGGUUGAAUUCUUGCUAUGGCUUUGAAAUGCUAAAACGGGUUUUUCUUUCUUUUGAGUGCUUAUCAGAGAUGAAGCGGAUCUCAUACAAUGCAUAGUAAAGGAAUUAUCGAUUCGUCUCAACCGAACACCAUUACAUGUCGCUAAGUAUCCGGUUGGAAUAGAUUCUCAAGUUCAAGAACUGAUAUGGUUUUCACAGAAAGAGUCGGCUGAUGAUGAUGUUCUAAUGAUAGGUCUAUGGGGACCUGGAGGCAUAGGGAAGACAGCAAUUGCCAAGGCCCUAUAUAAUGCUAUGAUGAGACAAUUUCAGGUUUGUAGUUUUUUGGAGCUAGUUAGAGAAAAAUCACACCGAAGCGAUGGUCUUGUUACUUUACAAAAGGAUCUUCUAUCUGAGAUCCUGGUUCAUCCUUUAACGGUCUACAAUGUCGCUGGAGGAAUUAGGUUGAUACAAGAAAGACUAUGUUGCAAGAAGGUUCUCCUGGUUCUUGAUGAUGUUGACCAUAUGAAUCAACUGAAUGCAUUAGCUGGAAAAGGCAAUUGGUUUGGAAAAGGAAGUAUAAUCAUUGUUACAACAAGAAAUAAACAAUUGCUAACUUCUCAUGGCAUAAAUCGUGUGCAUAGAAUUCAAACUUUAGGAUAUUGUGAAGCACGAGACCUUUUUUGUCUGCAUGCUUUCCCAGAUAGCAAGAGUGUUGAAAUAAGAAUGGAUCUCAUAAAUAGAGCACUGCAUUAUUGUGACGGCCUUCCGUUAGCCCUCGAAGUCUUGGGCUCAUUCUUAUGUGGAAGAAACGAAGCUGCAUGGGAAAGUGCAUUGCGUAGGCUCUCCAAAAGUCCUGACCAAACUAUUAAUCAAGUUCUCAAGACAAGCUUUGAUGGAUUGGACAAUGACGAGAGGGAGAUUUUCCUCGAUAUUGCUUGUUUCUUUAAGGGAAAGAGAAUAGAAUACAUCCAUGAAGUUCUUGACGGCUGUGAUUUCGAGACAACCAUAGGAAUAGAAAUUCUCAUCGAGAGGUCCUUGAUAAAAAAUGAGAGGGGUCACUUGCAAAUGCAUGAUUUGGUUCAGUUGAUGGGUAAGGAUAUUGUUAAUGAGGAAUGGCCCGAUGAUCCUGGGAAACGCAGCAGAUUAUGGCUUUUCGAAGAUGUUGAGGAAGUUCUCUAUGAAGAUACGGUAAAAGUUGUUCAUGUCCAUUUUGCAACAUCUCAGUUUUUUACUUUGCUCUGAUUUGGAUUGUAAUAUGUAAAUUUCAAUUGAAAAUUUUGUCUGACGAUUGAAUUUGCUCUGUUAUGGAUAGGUAAUGGAUGCAGUAAAGGCCAUAGUAUUGAACUUGCCCACACCAAAAGAGAUGACCAUUAGUCCUUGUGCUUUCAAAAAAAUGAAAAGGUUGAGAAUGCUCAUCUUGCACAAAGUGCAUAUCUCUUCACAAGGUCCUGUACGCCUCCCUAAUGCGCUAAGAUGGCUUGAAUGGCCCAAUGCCCUGCAUCUAGAAUUUGGCCCUGGUCCAAAGAAACUGGCGAGACUCCGUUUUCAAAACAGUCAUAUCAAACAAUUAGUAGGCAACUGUCAAGUAAGCCCUUAUGAUGAUCAGCUUUCCCUUUUCAAAGUUAUGAAAAUAUUUCAGAGCUUAAUGACUGCACCAGUAUGUUUUUGCAGAAUUUUAUAUGUUUGAAGUCCAUCGAGUUCCGGGAUUGCAAGUCCCUGGCUAGUAUUCCUGACAUUUCAUCGGCUCCACUUCUGGAGAGCUUAGAUCUUUUCAGUUGCAAAAGCUUGGUAGAGGUUCACCAAUCCGUUGGAGAUCUUGACAAGUUGAAACCUUUGAAUAUAUCAAGUUGCUCCAAUCUUCAGAUCUUUCCAAACACACUCAAGACAACGUCUCUUCAAUGGCUUGAUUUCUCUGGUUGCUCUAAACUUGAGAAAUGCCCUGAUAUUCUGGAAAAGAUGGAACACCUAAUAUAUUUUUUUCUAAAAGGGACGGCUAUUAAAGAAGUCCCGGCAUCAAUUGAAAAUCUUGUCUCUAUAGAGCAGAUAGAUUUAGGUUGUUGCGAUAACCUCACAAGGCUUCCAUCGAGCAUUCAUAAGUUGAAAAAUCUCAAGUCUCUGGUAGUUAGCUACUGCUCAAAUUUUGUCAUGUUUCCAAAGAACUUGGAGGAUUCAAUUGAUCCUGAUGACGAUUUGGGCUUCCCAAGUUUAAGGUGGCUAGACCUCUCUCACUGCAAUCUAUCAAAAGCAGAGUUUCUUGAGAAUGCUUCCAGUUGUCCUAUAUUGACGGGCCUAAAUCUUACAAAUAACAAAUUUAUUCAUCUUCCUACAUGCAUCAACAAGUAUGAUUAUUGGAAAGACUUGUUUGUUUAUAGCUGCAAGCAAAGCAAAGGGGUCAGUGUGGCUGAUGCGUCAUCACCCAAGGUCUCUCUCUCUCUCUCUCUCAUUUUGAAUGUUUGAUACGUGUACUAUCUGUAUGACAGGAAGUUGAGAUUCUUGUAAAUGGAAAAGAGAUGCCUGAAUGGAUUCUGCAUUGUAAAGAGUACACCAUAUCUUUCAUGGUUCCCCCAGACUUAUGUGACAAGAUCUUGGGACUAGCAAUCUGUGUUAUUCUUCGCCAGAAUAAGAAAGGCUCGUUCGACGAUUCGUCCUGUUCAUUUGACAUCAGCUUGUUUGUAAAUGGCAUAAGAUCGUAUUACCGUUUGAUAUUUUUUGAUCCAUUGGAAUCCGAUCAUGUGAAUCUUGUUUAUUUCCCAAGCAACAGAAAGAUAGAAGAGAAGCCUCUGCAAAACGAUUGGAGCCAUAUCCAAGUUUGUGUCAGGGCACUGGAAGGAACCAUAAAGAAGCGUGGAUUCCGUCUAAUAUGCGAGCAACAGGAGGAUGAUCUGAGGGUCUGCUUUCCAACACCAUCGGCGGAUGGAAACAGAUUGGAGUUUCAAGGAAGGAUACUCGAAGGAAGACAAUUAUCAAAAGACACCGAGGAAGAAAAUAGUCCACUGGAACAGAACUCAACAAAGAAGAUGAGACGGUCUUAGCAAUGGCGAGAGUAUGGGUUGAACUCGCACCACCUAUUGAGGUAGCGAUUCUUGGGGAUGCGAACCGGUGAUCUUGAUUUCAAUGCCUCUUGCUUUUCCCUUUUUUUUCUCGUCUCUACUAAAAAUUUGCAAUUGUUUGCUCCUUCAAUUAGUCGCAUAGUGCUACUGACAUGGUUGAGGAACUUUUCAUUUCCCUCUCGAUCUCUAUGAUCUGUGAUGCAAGAGUGCACCAAUCCAAUAUCAAGUGGAAUGCUUGCUGAAUGGCCAUUGUCUUCUAAAUUCAGUGAGAUAUAUCUCAUAGAACUCUUGUCACCUUUCUUAAUCCAAUUAAUGAUG